rnacentral:lncRNA from 1 species
UCAGAAAUGCUGUUUUCUUGGCUUGCCAGGCAGCUGAGCCACACACUUGAAACAGAAAGGAAAGGCUGCACAGCUUGAGCUACUGCAUCUCAGCACACCCCCUCUUCAUCGUAUCCUUAAACACAGGCAAUAGCUCUACAAAGAGGGUGAAUGCACUAUGUUGCCUUUGUCUCUCUGAAGAUAAGGAUAUCAAAGGGUCGGGGACAAAUUGCUGUGUAUGCACUUAACACCAGUUGAGGAUCUGCCCUUAAUAUAGGCAGCUCAUCUCCUGAUAUCUGUUGGUACCGCUCCUGUGAGUUUUUUGCAAAACUCUGAUUUAUGGUAUCUUUAUUGUACCUACAUGAGGCAUGCACAAACUAAAGUGACAUUAAUGUUAUUAAUUGUACGUAAUCCUUCACUAUGAUAGCAAGUAUUUGCAGCUUCUCUUCCUACCCCCCACUUUUCAGCUCCGAGAAACUAUGAAACAGUGAAUCUGCUCCCUGCGGAAACGCACUGGAAAACAGGGUGCUUGGAAGCAACCAGCCAGCGGUCUCCGACCAGGCAGCGAGGAGCUCUUGGUGGGUUUGUCGCUCCAGGCGUGGGCCCGCGAUCGGCCGCGCCAGCGAUGCUGCUGGAAAUCAGAGUCUUUUAGAGAAGCUUUCCUGAAGAGGUCACCCUGAUGUUACCUGGAGAGAUAGCAACAACGGCCUGUUCUCACGGCAGACUUCCAGCACCCGGAGCUAAUUCCCCAUGCUGCUUCAGGCUCCUUUCCUGACCCAAGGCAAGUUACCGAAAUCUCUGUGUGCUCUUGGCAAAGCUGGUGUAGACAUCUAAACUUGUGUGAU